rnacentral:rRNA from 1 species
AUUUGCCCCCACCCCCCCGGGGAUUUCCCCCAGCCCCCAAGAGCGUAUAAAAAAAGUUGCGGCAGUAAAAAAAGCUCGAAGGGGGAUUUCUGUAUAAUUUUUUAUAAAAAUUUUUUGAUAAUUUUUUAUAUAAUAUCCACAUUCCUCAUAUUACUUUUUUUUUUAGUAUAUGAAAUUUUACUUUGAGAAAAUUAGAGUGCUUAAAGCAGGCAUAUGCCUUGAAUACUCCAGCAUGGAAUAAUAUUAAAGAUUUUUAUCUUUUUUAUUGGUUCUAAGAUAAGAAUAAUGAUUAAUAGGGACAGUUGGGGGCAUUUGUAUUUAACAGUCAGAGGUGAAAUUCUUAGAUUUGUUAAAGACAAACUAAUGCGAAAGCAUUUGCCAAGGAUGUUUUCAUUAAUCAAGAACGAAAGUUAGGGGAUCGAAGACGAUCAGAAACCGUCGUAGUCUUAACCAGAAACUAUGCCGAGUAGAGAUGGAGGUG